GUCUGUGUGGCUCAGGGGAAGAGUGUCUGCUUUGCAUGCAGAAGGGUGCAGGUUUGGUUCCUGCCAUCGGUA
rnacentral:tRNA from 1 species